rnacentral:tRNA from 1 species
ACCUGGCUGGCUCAGUGGUAGAGCACGCUACUCUUGAUCCCAGGGUCAUGGGUUCGAGCCCCAUGUUGAGUG